GAUGAACGCUGGCGGCGUGCCUAACACAUGCAAGUCGAACGGAGAUUACGGACGGAAGUUUUCGGAUGGAAGACUGUAAUUCUUAGUGGCGGACGGGUGAGUAACGCGUGGGCAACCUGCCCUAUACAGGGGGAUAGCAGCUGGAAACGGCUGGUAAGACCGCAUAAGUCGGUUAAAUCGCAUGAUUUGAUCGGGAAAUGAGCAAUCAGGUAUAGGAUGGGCCCGCGUCCGAUUAGCCAGUUGGCAGGGUAAAAGCCUACCAAAGCGACGAUCGGUAGCCGGACUGAGAGGUCGGACGGCCACAUUGGGACUGAGACACGGCCCAAACUCCUACGGGAGGCAGCAGUGGGGGAUAUUGCACAAUGGAGGAAACUCUGAUGCAGCGACGCCGCGUGAGUGAAGAAGUAUUUCGGUAUGUAAAGCUCUAUCAGCAGGGAAGAUGAUGACGGUACCUGACGAAGAAGCCCCGGCUAACUACGUG
rnacentral:rRNA from 1 species